rnacentral:rRNA from 1 species
GUCUAGGGCCAUACCACUCCGAACACUCCCGAUCUUGUUUGAACCCAGAAAUGAAGUAGGGGCAGGCCUGGUUAGUACUUGGAUGGGGUUCUGCCUGGGAAUACUGGGUGUUAUAGGAA